UACAGAGGUCUCAAGCGUUGUUCGGAUUCAUUGGGCGUAAAGGGUGUGUAGGUGGCGCCGUAAGUCGGGUGUGAAAUUUCGGAGCUUAACUCCGAAACUGCAUUCGGUACUGCGGUGCUUGAGGACUGGAGAGGAGACUGGAAUUCAUGGUGUAGCAGUGAAAUGCGUAGAGAUCAUGAGGAAGACCAGUGGCGAAGGCGGGGUCUCUGGACAGUUCCUGACACUGAGACACGAAGGCCAGGGGAGCAAACGGG
rnacentral:rRNA from 1 species